UACGAAGGGGGCUAGCGUUGCUCGGAAUCACUGGGCGUAAGGGUGCGUAGGCGGGUCUUUUAAGUCAGGGGUGAAAUCCUGGAGCUCAACUCCAGAACUGCCUUUGAUACUGAGGAUCUUGAGUUCGGGAGAGGUGAGUGGAACUGCGAGUGUAGAGGUGAAAUUCGUAGAUAUUCGCAAGAACACCAGUGGCGAAGGCGGCUCACUGGCCCGAUACUGACGCUGAGGAGCGAAAGCGUGGGGAGCGAACAGG
rnacentral:rRNA from 1 species